rnacentral:tRNA from 2 species
AGCAAGGUCAGCUAAAUAAGCUCUCGGGCCCAUACCCCGAACACGUUGGUUAGAAUCCUUCCCCUGCUA